rnacentral:tRNA from 1 species
GGCACUAUGGCGGAGUGGUUAACGCGCAGCCCUGCUAAGGCUGUUCCCUCGGGAGCAAGAGUUCGAAUCUCUUUGGUGUCG